GAUGAACGCUGGCGGCGUGCCUAAUACAUGCAAGUCGAGCGAACAGACGAGGAGCUUGCUCCUCUGACGUUAGCGGCGGACGGGUGAGUAACACGUGGAUAACCUACCUAUAAGACUGGGAUAACUUCGGGAAACCGGAGCUAAUACCGGAUAAUAUAUUGAACCGCAUGGUUCAAUAGUGAAAGACGGUUUUGCUGUCACUUAUAGAUGGAUCCGCGCUGCAUUAGCUAGUUGGUAAGGUAACGGCUUACCAAGGCAACGAUGCGUAGCCGACCUGAGAGGGUGAUCGGCCACACUGGAACUGAGACACGGUCCAGACUCCUACGGGAGGCAGCAGUAGGGAAUCUACCGCAAGGGGCGAAAGCCUGACGGAGCAACGCCGCGGGAGUGAAGAAGGUCUGCGGAUCGUAAAACUCUGUAUUAGGGAAGAACAAAUGUGUAAGUAACUAUGCACGUCUUGACGGUACCUAAUCAGAAAGCCACGGCUAACUACGUG
rnacentral:rRNA from 1 species